AUUUAUUUCUUGGGAGCUGGGCAGUAGUGCACAGGGUGAAGUGCACAUGGUGCGAAGCACAAGGACCUGCUUAAGGAUCCUAGUUCUAGCUCCUGGCUCCCCACUUGCAGGGUGGAGAAGCAGGUCUACAGGUGUCUUUCUCUCCCCCUCUCUGUCUUCCCUUCCGGUCUCAAUUUCUCUCUGUUCUAUCCAACAACAACAACAGCAACAACAACAACAAACGACAAUAAUAACUACAACAACGAUAAACAACAAGGGCAACAAAAAGGAAAAAAAUAACCUCCCGGAUCAGUGGAUUCAUAGUGCAGGCACUGAACCACAGGAGGUUACAUUAUGGCAGAGGUUCUUCACCUCUGAACCAGAUGAGCAUUUCUACCCUGAUGCAUUUACAGAAUAAGGUUCCAGAUGCCAUCAGGAUGCUGGCCAGGCUUCCCUGGAUUGAAGACCCCACCAAUAUGUCCUGGAGCUCAGCUUCCCCAGAGACACACCCUACUAGGGAAAGAGAGAGGCAGACUGGGAGUAUGGACUGACUAGUCAAAGCCCAUGUUCAGCGGGGAAGCAAUUACAGAAGCCAGACCUUCUACCUUCUGUAACCCACGAUGAC